rnacentral:rRNA from 1 species
UACGGAGGGAGCUAGCGUUGUUCGGAAUACUGGGCGUAAGGCGCACGUAGGCGGUUGUCGCGUCUGCCGUGAAAGUCCGGGGCUCAACUCCAGAACUGCCUUUGACUACUGAAGAUCUUGAGUUCGGGAGAGGUGAGUGGAACUGCGAGUGUAGAGGUGAAAUCGUAGAUAUUCGCAAGAACACCAGUGGCGAAGGCGGCUCACUGGCCCGAUACUGACGCUGAGGCACGAAAGCGUGGGAGCAAACAGG